GUUUGCCAUCAAACACACUGAGUAAAAUUCAAAAUAAAUUUGUCUGCCAGCUUCCUAAGCCUAACCCUAACCCAGAAACCCAAGCCCAAUAACCAAUCCUCACGCUCCUCAAACAGUUACACAAACACAGUCACACACUACUCUAACAAUAUUUCUGCUUGCACAGAGGCCUGUGCGCAGGGUGUGCACAGGCCCUGAGACAUGGGGGUGGACCCCUCAGGGCCUGUGCAUAAGCCCCUGUGCAAGCAUCUCUAAUUCCAAUUCCAAUCUUCAGUCCGUCUACUGGGUCUCCACCGUGCUUGUGUCCUCCAUCGGUGGUUCAACUCUCACUCUUUCACCACGUUCCCCACAGAAUCUCUUGCUCCCAUAGUCUCCUCUCCAGUUUAAAAGGUAAAAAAAUGUUAAAUGUGUGAGUUCUAAGUUCCUUUUUUUUAAACAGUGACUGGAGCUAUUUCUUCCUUCUUCUUUUUUGUUCCUGCUUCUUUGAGUUUUUUUUUUUUUUUUUUUUUUGUCCGAAGGGUAUUUUUAUUUCUAGGGUUUGUGUAUGUAGAGGAUUAGAAUUGAAAUUUCUGACGUUAAAAUGAGUUUAGUUUCAGUUUUGGGGAUUUGUGGAGCUAUUGCUGUAAAAAGAAUUAAAAAAGGUUAACUGGAACAGUCGGCGGGGUAUGGGUGAUCCCCGUGGGCCCGUCUCUCUUAAGCGGGCUGGGACAGGAAAUUUCCACCAGGGACAGGGACGGGGAGUGCUGCCCUGCCGGCGCCCAUCCCUAAGGGCCUAAAUUAAGAGGGCAAGAGCAAUUUGGAAACAUCAAAACAUUUCAAUUGGUGUAGAUUUGAGAUCAGAUUCUAUCUCGAGUGAUAAAAUCAAAGCCUUACUAGUCCAUGACAAGCGUAUGAUCGUCAAGGGAGGAAUGGUGAACUUUAAUUCUUGAUGUGAGACAGUAAAGCCCAGUGAAAUGGAGUCUUAGUAUUUGUAUGCGUAUUUGCAGUGUUCGUUGUAAUUAUUGAUGCUCUUAUCAGAGGAAUGUUAUAGUGGCAUGUAAGAGUUAUUAGCCUAUUAGUUACUGCAAGUGGCCACACACAUUAGAUUGUUUUGGGUGCAUCUUUUGUUUACUUUAGUGGUGCUUUAAGGCAUUUUUGUAGUUCUUAACCUAUUUUCGACACUUUAUAAGUAAUAUUCUAAUGUGCAACCGAGUUCGUUUAGCAAAUCUUAAGCACUGGAGAAGAAGCUAUAGUUUGGCUUUUGUUCAAAGACUUAAAGUUUGAGUCGAGAUUGAACAGAAAAAUAAGCCAGUCUUCUUCUAUUGUUUGCUUAGAUAAUUCUUUUAGCUAUAUUUCGUCAGUUAAUUUAGUGAUUAUGCUAAUAAUUGCCUCCCUCCCUGGACGAUUUUGCUGUUAUUUUACUAUUUAUAGGCCAUCAGUCCUUGUAACCAAGUUUGAAUUUCAGAAAACCAAACUUAUUUUAGCUGUUGUUUGCCUUGUGACCCAGUACGUAGGCAGAAUACCUAAGAAGCACUUACACAGACAUCGACAAGCAAUUUUUUAAGAAGUUUCGACACGAUACGUUGUCAAUACGUUGAUUAUCAAAUUAUUUUUUUAGUUUAUUUUAAUUUUAUAGUCUAAAGUAAUAAUUUUUUAUACUUAUUGAAUCAUAUAUAUAAUGAUAAAUAGAAAUCAAACUUGACAUUAAAUUCCUAAAUGCUUCUUAAUAACAUAAGUUCAAAAAGUAUAAACGAAAUUAAUUACAUAAUUCUUCUUGAAUCUCUUCAACAUCUUCAUCUUCAUCUGCAAAUACUAUCGCUUCUAAUUCCGGUUCGUCUAAAGAUAAAUUAGCAACUUCAAUCACACCAACAUCUUCAAAUGUAUCAAAUGCAUCUCCACCGAUCUCGUACAUUCAGUCUCUCAUUAUGAGUAUUGCGCACUCCUUGUUAAGAGUCGAAGAUAGCUAUGGACGAAAAUCAAAUCUUCCCCACGUUUUAAAGUUGGCUUAUUUCGUUUAAGAGAGUGCAAAAAGGAAUAAGUAUUCGAAUUUCACUCACAACACGAUGAAGAAGAUGGUUGCCCCAAAAGUUUCAAGGCAUAACUUUGAAGCAUGGGUGUGCAAGCACCAUGUAUAACCCACCAAGUCUUUGGGUCCAAGCGGUAACAAUCAUGGAUGGAUUCAAAAUUACCAAAGUCAUCUUCCAUAGUCGAGAAUUUGGCAUACUCCUUAUUCACCAUAUUACGCUCUUCAUUUGACAAGGACUUCUUAAAGCAUUUUAUUCUUUCUCUUGAAAUCUCGACAUCUCUAUGUAGAGCAAGUUGAGUAGGAUCCUCAUUAAGCCAUUCCUCGCUAUAGUACCUAAACAAGAGAAAAAAAUUAAAGAAAUGACAAUUCAUUCAAUAACUAACGAAAAAUAUUAAAUAUUAUGAAAAUGUAAAUAAAUAAUAAAUAUAUGAAUUAGAUUUAAAAAUUACCAUGGAUUUAGAAAAUGAGACAAGCAAUGAAGUGGAGUGUUAUUUUUGUUCCAAUGAUCUAUAAGUAUCCGAUGAACAACUUUGUAAAAUGAUGAUUCCUCUUCUUGAACUUUUUUCUCAUACCUAUAAAUUAUUCCUUUCACUUUCUCAUUCAUUGUAUCUCAAAUGUCAUAAAUCAAAUGAAGGGCAAGAUUUAUCCGUAUCACAAAAUCUAAGCAUGUGAUAAAUGAGAAAAGCAAAGUAAAGAACAUAACUUAGUCCCACCAAAGAUCAUCAAGCACUUUCAAUUUUACAAAACUUGCCUUCAUCAUGUCAUCUUCUCGAUAAAGUGACCAUGUUUUACUAAUAACCAAAGCUUGAAUACCACGUUGGAUAAGCUUAAAUCUUUUUAACAUGACAAUAAUAGAAGCAAAUCGUGUCUCCACUACGGAAAGCAACUUCAAAGGCACAAAUUCAUUAAGCAUUGCUAGUCUCAUGGAAUUGUUCACGAUAAAUUUUUUUUAUAAUCAUUACAUCAUUAUGAAGAUUAGUAUUUCAAUUGCAUUCCUCAUAGGUGAUCAAAUUAUUUUCAACAUUUUUCGCAGCACAAAUGUUCUUCAAAGAAAGAUUUAGUGUGUGUACAACACAUGGUGUCCAAAAAUAUGAGGAUACUCCAAUUCAAUUAUUUGCUCGACACCUUUGCAAUUUGGAGCAUUAUCGGUUAUUACUUGAACCACCGUUUCAUGAUCAAUUUCAUUUAUAACCUCCAUCAAGUUAGCAAUAAAAUAUUUACCUUUCGUUUCAUCGAAACAAUCAACCGCUUUUAAAAACAUUGGUCUACUCUCAGUCACCGCCAUAAAAUUAAUUAGUGGCCUUUUUUGUGGAUCACUCCAUCCAUCGCUUACAAUAGUAACUCCUUUUUCCGCCAAUGUGUCAAAUUGGAUUUAAUAACCUUUCCACAUUUUUUCUCUUUUUGAAGAAGAGUAGUUCUUAACUUGUUAUAAUCGGGAGGCAAAUAUCCUGAAAUUCGACUAUUGGAAGUAAGAGUAUAAGAACUAAUGUAAUAAGGAUUUCUUGCAAGAGUAAAAGGCAAACCACUUGAAUAAAGCAUUCGAGAAAUUUCGGAAUCCAAUUGGUCACGUGUUGUCACAUUAAAGGCAUUUUCUUUUGCACCAUUCUUUCUUUUCUUUUCCUCCAAAACAUUACAAGCCUUAGAAUCCAUAUUACCCUUCGGCAAUGGCACUCUUUUCCCUGCCUUAGUUUGCAUUCUCAAUUUGGCUUCAUCUUCCAUUUUUUGCAUUUUACACAUAUCUUUUAUGGUUACUUUUCCACAAGCACCAAUUUCAUAGCCUUGUAAUUUUAACAAAUGUGCCCUCACUCUUGUGUAUGAACUUGUCUUAGUUGCUGUUGUGCAUGUAGCUCAUAUAGAGUGGAACACAGCCCUGGAUCAAAUGGGCCGAUGUCGGCGCGGAGCGGAGUGGAAUGAGAGGAGCGGAGUGAUGGCAUCGGCCUUGCGCGGGUUUAAUUUACUGUCUGGUUGUUAGGGACGCUGAAUGGGUUGGGGGUGCGGGGGCGGUACGGUACAAGGGUAUUUUCUGUACGGGCCUUAAAGUCUUAUAUGGAUCCAGGCUAGGGUUAGUAUAAAUAAUAUGUUGUAACUCUAUUUGUAUCAACUGAAUAAAGAAAUUUUCGCUUCGCUCUCGUGGACGUAGGCACAUCGUCGAACCACGUAAAACUCUUGUGUUGAUUUUCCUUUUCAUCUCUUUAAUAUUGCGCACAAAAUCCAACAACAGGUAUCAGAGCUAGGUUCAGAUGGCGAGUUCUUCGAUUGCAAAAUUUGAUGUGAUGAAGUUUGACGGAUCUGGGAACUUCGGAUUAUGGCAGCGAAAGGUGAAGGAUUUGUUGGUGCAGCAAGGGAUGAUGAAGGCACUAUCUGGGAAGAAACUAGAGGGUACGUCAGAUGUCGAUUGGGAAGAGCUCGAGG
rnacentral:lncRNA from 1 species